UCAGGAAUCCUGGCAUGAGACAAGGAGAAAUGCUGGAAUACUAAUUCUCUGGUGCAAAGCUCUUCAUCCUGACACUUCUGCUAAGUUGUGGCUAAGCAGUGAACAUUGGAGAUGCAAAUGUCACAGUGAAUUGUAUCUGGGCAGUGGGUGCUGGUUGAGGAGGAGACAUUCAGAAUGCAAUUUUCGUCAGAUGACAAAGCAGACAAACAGCUCCAGUUACAGAGCAGGCAGCACUGUGCUGACUUCAGGGAGCUGCUGGUAUGAGAAGGUGGUGGUGUCUGUUCUGCUGGAGAUGUAAGAGUGCUGUCAUGAAACCCUAACAGGAAGGCUCAGGAAGUUGAUUGCUUUGCAGAGAAAAUGGAAACUUUUUUCCAGUUCAACAGAUGAACUAAAAAUUUCUAUCUCCUCGUCUGGUUCAGUGUCCUAGUUCUGCAAUCCCUAAUAUAAGGUGAGGAACAGGAAAGAGGUAAGUCAGUUAAGAUGCCCUAAAUCUCCCCCUCUCAAAUCAACCAAACAUCAUAGUUCAGCAAAAUUUCUCUGUACUUGGCUGUGUGGAGGAAGAAAUCAGACCUCAGAAAUUUAUCAGCUAAGAGAAUGGUUGUGAGCCCUAUCUGCCAGUCUGCCCUCCAGUAUGAAAGAGACUACAGCAUAUCUCUCAGUUUACCCCUGAAAACAGCAUGGCCCAAAUAAAGCAACGCCAGUUAUAUUAUCAGGAAUAUAUUACUAGAGCCAUUAAACUUCUCUAGGUAAACCAUCCAACAGAGGAUUCAUAAGGAGGAGUCUCUUGAAGGUAAACACAAAACUAUAUCCAGUUGAAGCCAUCAUUAUUCACCAGUUUCUAUGCUUUCCAAGUCCCUGAUAUAUUUUCUGUUCCACCUCAGGAAGUUGUAUUUGUUAACUCUACCGGAAAUACUUACAGCCUC